AUGAAUCUUGAAUCCGUAUUGAGUCCAGCACUACCAUGGAGCUACAUCGCCUGCGGCCUCUUGGGCCUGGCGCUCCUGUGGCCAACCAUCCGACUGCUAGACCAGCUGUGGUGGCGGCCGAGGCGCCUGGAGCGGGCUCUUCGCGCCCAGGGCCUUCGUGGGACGUCAUACAGUUUCCUCCUCGGCGACAUGAGUGACUACGGCAGGCAAAACAAAGAGGCAUGGUCCAAGCCCCUGCCGCUGCGCUGCCACGACAUCGGCGCCCACGUCUUGCCUUUCCUCUACAACACCGUCGAGGAGCACGGCAAGCAGUGCAUCUCCUGGUUCGGUCCGGUUCCCCACUGA
rnacentral:rRNA from 1 species